rnacentral:rRNA from 1 species
UUCUUGAGUGUGUACUUGUUAAGCCUUUUAAGAAAAAAGUUAUUAACUUAAGGAAUUAUAACAAAGAAGCAACACGUAAAUGGAUUUUCCAUUUUUUAGUGUGUAUCAAUCGAGUUUCUGACCUAUCAGCUUUUGAUGUUAGGGUAUUGGCCUAACAUGGCUAUGACGGGUAACGGGGAAUUAGAGUUCGAUUCCGGAGAGGGAGCCUGAGAAAUAGCUACCACAUCUAAGGAAGGCAGCAGGCGCGUAAAUUACCCAAUUCUAAAGAAGAGAGGUAGUGACAAGAAAUAACAAUACAAGGCCAAUCUGGCUUUGUAAUUGGAAUGAUGGGAAUUUAAAACCUUCCCAAAACUCAAUUGGAAGGCAAGUCUGGUGCCAGCAGCCGCGGUAAUUCCAGCUCCAAUAGCGUAUAUUAAAAUUGUUGCAGUUAAAACGCUCGUAGUUGAAUUUCAAAGAAUCGAUAUUUUAAGUAACGCUUUGUAGAUUAAUCCACAUAACUGAUACUACGUAUCGACUUUGUGCGCAUUUUUCUACUUAUGUGUUCUUUUAAUUAAAAUGAUUCUUUUUAAGAUCUUUCUUUUUUGCUUCGGCAUUUUAGGAGAUCUUGUUACUUUGAGUAAAUUAGAGUGUUCAAAGCAAACAGAUUAUAGCAUCUUUAUGCGUUUGAAUACUACAGCAUGGAAUAACAAAAUUGAACAAGUCAGAAUUUUGUUCUUUUUUCUUAUUUUGGCUUAGUUACGAUUAAUAGGAGUAGCUUGGGGGCAUUUGUAUUCAGAUGUCAGAGGUGAAAUUCUUAGAUUUUCUGGAGACAAACAACUGCGAAAGCAUUUGCCUAAAAUACUUCCAUUAAUCAAGAACGAAAGUUAAGGGAGUGAAGACGAUCAGAUACCGUCGUAAUCUUAACCAUAAACUAUGCCGACUAGGC